UACGUAGGGGGCAAGCGUUGUCCGGAAUCAUUGGGCGUAAAGAGCGUGUAGGCGGUCCGGUAAGUCGGCUGUGAAAGUCCAGGGCUCAACCCUGGGAUGCCGGUCGAUACUGCCGGACUAGAGUUCGGAAGAGGCGAGUGGAAUUCCCGGUGUAGCGGUGAAAUGCGCAGAUAUCGGGAGGAACACCAAUGGCGAAGGCAGCUCGCUGGGACGUUACUGACGCUGAGACGCGAAAGCGUGGGGAGCAAACAGGG
rnacentral:rRNA from 1 species